AUCCAUCAUAAUUCUGGGUAUCAUCUUAGAAAUGUGUGUCACAGAAAUAAUUAUCUUAUCAAUUGAAUUAUAAUGAACUCACAUCAGAUCUUGAAACAUGGCCAUUUUUGUCAUUUACAGACAGUUACUGUUUUACUUUGAUGCUUUUGCAAAAGUGUUCCUGCAAAAGUGCUACGUUUUCAAGGAGACUCUAACAAGUACAGGUUUCUCAUAACCUUCAGAUCAUACCACUGAACUGGGUAAGAAUCUGCAGACCUCUGGUGGAGAACCCGAUGGCUUCCUAAAACUGCUAACCAAAAAGCAAGAUCAACAAGAAUUAAUUACAUGGGACUCAAUGAGUUAAUGAAGAUGAUUAUAACAUUGUUGGUUCUUUUGUUUUCCCCCCAGAUUUAAGGAAACCUUCUUCUUUUAAGCUAUCAAUAAAUUGGUAAAAAAAUAUCUUUGUAAACAAAGAUUAACAUAUGCAACUAAAUUUGUUUUUCUAAUCUAUCUAAUGUAAAUUUAAUUAUGUACUAGACCAAAUUUUUCUCCAGAUUCUUACCCAGUUCAAUGUUAUGACAUGAAGGUUGUCAGAAACCUGUACUUGUUAGUCUCCUUGAAAAUGUAGUGCUCCCUACCUGAGCCCUCCAGAAUUCAGAAACUCUUAGUGAAUAUUCUUACAAUAUAGUUAUUUGCAUAAGUUCAACAAGAUUCUUUUCUCCUUGUAACAGAUACAGUUAGAAACACUGAUUAUACUCUGAAGGUUUGAACUGGAAUAUAUAUUUGAGAAUGCACAUAGAAGGAACUAAGGUUCACUUUAUGGAGCCAAUGAAACACCUUGGAAAACCAGCCUGGUACCUGCUUACAGGGUUCCCAGCCAGCAGCUUUGCCAGAAAUGUAUCUGAUUGCCUACACAAUAUAGGCCUAACUUUAGGAGCAAACCUGUAUCACCGCCUCCUGCAACCAGAGACACUGUUUAAACAGACCUAUUCUCAGCACUAACAGGCUGCUUCAGUGAGCUGGAACCAUCUACCCACUCAACUUUUGGACUAUGAAACUUCUUGGGGACGUUUCAAAGGUGGGGACUGAAAGGAACAGAAUGUGCCACUUUGGCAGGUGCAUCAUUUUGAGCUGAAGGGAAUCAAGACCCAGCAGACUAAGGAGUUAUUACUGCUCCCUUAUCUGUCUAGAAGAAUUUAGACAGUAGGCCUGAGCUAGAAAGAGAGCUAUUACCAGAGGUAACUUUUUUUUUCUUUAAGUCUUAUCUGCAAGGCAGGGCAAACAUUGAUUAUCACACAUAAUGCUUUUCUCACCUUCCUUCCCUUUUAAAUCCCUGGCCCCUAUCCAGUUCCUGAGCUCAGGAUAGUAUAUAAGCCUCAAUUGUCUGUCUUUGAGUCUCUUAUUUUUAUGGGGCUCCCAUAACAUGUGCAAUUAAAUUUGUUUUUCUGUUA